UUAGGUGGACCUUGAACGGCUCGGGACUCUGCAGAGCGCUGCAGAUCAGACGAGAUGGAAGUACUAUACACUGUUGUUUUGGGAGCAGCUUUAAUUUUGUUUUUUUGUUUCUUUAAGUUUCCUUAUUUCCUGCAGGACUGCAGGUUCAUGAGGAAAAUGCUGGUAGUCCGUUCCAAGAGGAUGAAGUUUAGAGAGAAAACUCCUUUCUACUCAGUUCUUGAUUGUUUUCUGGACGUAGUAAAGAAACAACCACACAAGCCCUUCAUCUUGUAUGAGGAUCAGGUGCACACUUACCUGCAGGUGGACCAGGCGAGUAAUAAGGUGGCACAGGCACUGCAGUUGCACGCUGGUUCCACCGUGGCGCUGCUUCUGGAAAAUGGGCCGGUGCUGGUGUGGAUGUGGCUGGGCCUGUUUAAGCUCGGAUGUCCUGUUUCCAUGCUCAACACCAACAUCAGGACCAAAUCCCUCCUGCACUGCUUCAGAUGUUGUGGAGCGUCUGUCCUGAUCGCUGGAGCAGAGCAUCGAGAGGCAGUGUGUGAGGUGCUCCCAGACCUGCUGGCAGAACAUGUGCGUGUGUAUAUCCUGGGGGAUGCAGGUGGGGUGGAGGGGCUUCACAGUCUUACUGAAAAAAUACAGCAAAGCCCAAACACACCUGUACCUCACACACUCAGAGACAACAUCACCAUGAGCAGCACUGGACUCUUCAUCUACACCUCAGGAACCACAGGUUUACCUAAAGCAACACUGAUUCCUCAGGACAAAAUAUGGGGUGCACCAUUUUUUCCAUACCUGACAGGAGUGAAGGCGGAUGACGUGUUGUACAUCCCGCUGCCCCUUUACCACGGAGCAGGACUGCUGAUUGGCCUGGCUGGUGCCAUAGAACGAGGUAUCACAGUGGUGUUGAGGAGGAAGUUCUCAGUGUCUCAGUUCUGGAAGGACUGCAGGAAGUACGACGUGACAGCGUUUCAGUACAUCGGAGAAGUCAUGCGCUACCUCUGUAACACACCUAAGACAGACACCGACCGUCAGCACAAAGUCAGACUGGCCAUUGGGAACGGGUUGAGGGCCGACGUGUGGCAGGAGUUCCAGCGUAGGUUUGGAUCUGUGGAUAUUCAAGAGUUCUACGCUGCCUCUGAUGGGAUCCUGAGCUUCAUAAACUAUGUGGGGAAAGUGGGAGCUGUGGGCAGAGUCAACUUCUACCAGAAGAAAAUGUUUCCCCACGCACUGAUUCAGUACGACGCAGAACGAGAGGAGCCAGUCCGAGACAGGGAGGGGCGCUGUGUACCUGUUCCCACAGGUGAAACUGGUCUCCUGGUGGUGAAGAUAACGAAGCUGGCUCCAUUUGUGGGCUAUGCUGGGAAUCCGGAGCAGACGGAGAAGAAGAGGCUGAGGGACGUUUUUGAGAAGGGAGAUGUUUAUUUUAACAGUGGAGACCUGAUGAGAAUGGACAAUGAAGACUUCAUCUACUUCCAGGAUCGAAUUGGAGACACUUUCAGAUGGAAGGGAGAGAACGUGGCGACAAUGGAAGUUUCUGACGUUAUGACUAUGCUGGAAUUUAUUGAAGACUGCAAUGUGUAUGGCGUUGAAGUUCCAGGUCACGAGGGUCGUAUUGGCAUGGCAGCGGUUACUCUGAAAGAAGGCAGAGAGUUUGAGGCUAAAGAGGCGUUCAUCCACGUCUGUAACUUCCUGCCUGUUUACGCCAGGCCGAGAUUCAUACGCAUCCUGGUAAAAUAUUCACAUGCAAAUAGAUAACACACAAAUACAGAAUAUUCUACAGUGCUUGAGAUGAAAAUGGUUAGAGUGGGUUUUGAAGAGUAUGGGCCCUAUUGUAACGACCUAUAGGAGAGCUGCAUACCAAAAGUAGUAAAAUGGGGGUGGCUUAACUGCUUUAGACUUUACGAGUGAAGCUUAACUAAUGUGGAUUCUGUAUGAUGAAUGGGUGGAGCUGAAAUGCUGCAGGAUGAAUGAGUAAAGCUGAAAUACUGUAGGUUGAAUGGGUGGAGGUGAAAUACUGUAGGAUGAAUGGGUGGAGCUUAAAUACUGUAGGUUGAAUGGGUGGAGGUGAAAUACUGUAGGAUGAAUGGGUGGAGCUUAAAUACUGUAGGUUGAAUGGGUGGAG